CACUGUAAUUAUUUAUUUAAUUGUUACUUGUAUUACAACUACAGUACACUUGAUGCAUCUUAAUUUUCUGUUAUAGAACUCUCUCCUAGUGCAGCACAUGAGCCUGUUACACCUAAUAGUCCAGAAACACACAACCCUGAAUCUGGUCCUGUGUUUCCUUCAGCCACACAUCCAGUUCUUAGCCCUCCACCAUCAAUGGUGCUCUGUGAGACUGGUCUUAAUAACCAGUCAACAUUGGAUUUGGACUUUCAGUUGCAUAAUUAUCAUGCUGCUGGAAAUGGUCAAUCUGUUGACUUGCAUGAUCAUGGAAUGUACACUGAUUGGUUGAAUAUCACCCAACCUAAUGUGUGUGCUAGUAGAUGUUACAGUGACUCCCAGCCAUAUUACAGUAUCUCAAAUGACCAUGAUCCUCUGUUAUCCAAUCUUGGGAGUAGCCAUGAUCCCCUGGACCUCUUCUCUCUAGAAGACAUGGGCAAGAAGUCAUCAGCUAUUGCCCCGGAUUUUGCCACUUAGUAACCAUAAUAUUUUGUUUUCCACUCUUGAGAUCAACCAUAAUUCCCUGGACUUAUAUUCACUAAACUAGUUAAACAAGCAAUUACCAGCUGUUGCUCAGGAUUUUAUCACUUAUUGGCACCAGUCCCAAGACCAGCCAUGAUCUUCUAUAUGUCUUUUACUUAGAAGAUGUGAUGCUUACAUGAUAGUCAGGGUUAGCCUCAUCAUGACAUGAUAGGAAAGUAUGUUAACACAGCCAGAGUUUAAUGUUAACUUUGAAGUAUAUUUACUUAUUGUGUGUGGGUUCAUGUGAAGUGUAGUUGUUAUCGCUAGGCUUGAGAACGUAGUGUUUGAGCCAUCGAGCCUUUUAUAAUUUAAUGCUCACUUUUUGUGCCUUAAGGUUUAUUUCUUCCCAUUUAAAAAGGAGAAAGAUAUUGGAAUUCCAUCCAGAUUGCUUGAAAAGUCUUAGGUAUAGUGUUAAUAUUACAGCUAACAUCAGUUAAGGAGCAUGUAGUAUGUUAGUUACAAUAUCUGGACCGUGUAUUAGUAUUUUAAACUAGUUUUUUAUUAUUACAUUUUCUGUUAGUUUAAGUUCAUGGAAAAGAUUGAAAACAACCAGCAUUAUUUCAAACUGAAAAUUAAGAAGAUUUUGAACACAACCACUAGAGACACUUUAAUAUGGUUAGUAACAGAAACAACACCACAGCACACUGAAAGUAUAUUAUUCAGAAAUUGUAAAAAGAAGUUUACUGUACUAAAUCCUUCAUUGAUAGAUUUUACAGAAUCUUGAUCAAAGUUUCUAUAAGUUGUACAGACAGGAAAUUUAGAAACACAAUUCAUGAUUUAAAAACAAGGCAACUUUUACACCUACAACUGCUCCUUAUAUAAAGCUGAUUGUAUUACAGUGGAGAUGAAAACUGUGUUAUUGUAAUGUUACACAUGUGCCUCACAAAAAAGGUAUUUGUUUUGUAAAAAGUUAAACAUGAAAUCUGUGUUCAGAGUCUGAGGAAAAACUAGUUGUUCUUUAUUGAAGUUAGAUACUGAAUUGUUGUGUUCUGAUUACUGAGCCUGAGGCAAAAGUGGUUGUUUUUGUUGUAGUUAGAUAUUGAAUUGUUGUGUUGUGAUUGCUGAGGCUGAGGAAAAACUGGUUGUUCUUUUUCUGAAGUUAGAUAUAGAAUUGUUGGCUUUGAUUGCUGAGUCUGAGGCAAAAGUGGUUGUUUUUUGUUGUAGUUAGAUACUGAAUUGUUGUGUUGUGAUUGCUGAGGCUGAGGAAAAACUGGUUGUUCUUUUUUUGAAGUUAAAUACAGAAUUGUUGUGUUUUGAUUGCUGAGUCUGAGACAAAAGUGGUUGAUUUUUGUUGUUGUUAGAUAAUGAAUUGUGUUCUGAUUGCUGAGUCUGAUGAAAAGCUGGUUGUUCUUUUUUGAAGUUAGAUACUGAAUUGUGUUCUGAUUGCUGAGUCUGAGGAAAAGCUGGUUGUUCUUUUUUUGAAGUUAGAUACUGAAUUGUGUUCUGAUUGCUGAGUCUGAGGAAAAGCUGGUUGUUCUUUUUUUGAAGUUAGAUACUGAAUUGUGUUCUGAUUGCUGAGUCUGAGGCAAAGCUGGUUGAGCUUUGUUGUAGGUAGAUACUGAAGUGUUGUGUUCUGAUUGCUGAGCCUGAGGAAAAACUGGUUGUUCUUUUUUUAAAGUUAGAUACUGAAUUGUGUUCUGAUUGCUGAGCCUGAGGAAAAACUGGUUGUUCUUUUUUUUUGAAGUUAGAUACUGAAUUGUAUUCUGAUUGCUGAGUCUGAGGAAAAGCUGGUUGUUCUUUUUUUGAAGUUAGAUACUGAAUUGUGUUCUGAUUGCUGAGUCUGAGGAAAAGCUGGUUGUUCUUUUUUGAAGUUAGAUACUGAAUUGUUAUGUUCUGAUUGAUGAGUCUGAGGCAAAGCUGGUUGUUUUUGUUGUAGUUAGAUACUGAAUUGUUGUGUUCUGAUUCUGAACCUGAGGAAAAGCUUGUUAUUUUUUGUUGAAGUUAAAUACAGAAUUGUUGUGUUCUGAGUCUGAGGCAAAGCUGGUUGUUUUUUGUUGAAGUUAGAUACAGAAUUGUUGUGUUGUGAUUGCUGAGGCUGAGGAAAAACUGGUUGUUCUUUUUUUGAAGUUAGAUACAGAAUUGUUGGCUUUGAUUGCUGAGUCUGAGGCAAAAGUGGUUGUUUUUGUUGUAGUUAGAUACUGAAUUGUUGUGUUGUGAUUGCUGAGGCUGAGGAAAAACUGGUUGAUUUUUGUUGUUGUUAGAUAAUGAACUGUGUUCUGAUUGCUGAGUUUGAGGAAAAGCUGGUUGUUCUUUUUUGAAGUUAGAUAGUGAAUUGUUAUGUUCUGAUUGCUGAGUCUGAGGCAAAGCUGGUUGUUUUUGUUGUAGUUAGAUACUGAAUUGUUGUGUUCUGAUUCUGAGCCUGAGGAAAAGCUUGUUAUUUUUUGUUGUAGUUAGAUACUGAAUUGUUGUGUUGUGAGUCUGAAGCAAAGCUGGUUGUUUUUAGCAUGUGUUUUUAACAGAUGCUUGACACAAGAUUCUUAUAGUAAGAUGGCUGAUAAUAAAAAGCAGCAUCUUAUGUAUAGCUGGUAUUAAGUAUAAUCAUGGUAAAUAGCUUUGUUUUUAAUGUCAUAUACCACAUUCUUAUGGUCUAAGUGCUCAUUCUGAGAAGGAUCUAAAAUAAAGUCAGAUAUGGGCAGUGUAUGUUGCAUAAAACCUUACCCACAAUACUUUUGUUUCACAUGAAAAUACAUGUGGCUUUAUCGUCUGUAACUAUAGUGUGAAUAUGUUUCAUAUCAGAUUAGACACCAAUCUACACCCCACCCACUACCCAAAUAUGUGUAUACUGGCACCUUUCCCAAACUGCUUAGAACAUUGCAUACAGGUUUUAUAUAAUCUGAAACUUGUUCUGGGAAAUUUGUUUGAGUUAUAUAAAAAAAAGGUAUUAUUAAGUUACUGCUGAUCCUGAGCAACACGUUUGUUUUUGGCUGAAGAUAAUAUUCUGAGAAGAAACCAAAUGAAUAACAGACUAUUAUGAUCUGACAUCUGACCAUAAACUGCAGUUGGAUAGCAGGAGUUGUUUGUUAUUGGCUGAAGAUAAACAACAAAUCGGUAUUGCUGGACAGCUGAUCCUCGGAUGGAAUUUUCUUUCUGCUAAAGUGAUAAUACCACUGUAAAAGAUACAGAGAAAAUAAUUGUAUAUUAAUAAUACAAUAUCUAAUUGUGGAUGUUUAUUUUAAAACAUCCCAUACCAAAAGUUCAGUGUAUUUUACAACAUCAGACAUGUUUUUUUAUAACAGAAAAGAUAAAAAUAUGAUUUUGUUUAGAAACUUGUGUUGUUCAAGUGAUGAAAUGUAUUACUUUUCCCUUCUGCAUUACUUAGAGAUGUGGAUGUAAUAUUCUGCAGGCAGAAUAUGUAUGUAGAUGUUUACUAGGAAAGAGGAAAAUUUUUUUAGAGCUUGUGAACCAUUCAGUGUCUCUUAAGAACUACAUUAUCCUAAAACCAAUUGUUAUUGCAACAUUCAACGAAUAAUCAACUGUGCAAUAUUGCAAAAUGCUCUUAAAAAUUAAUGUAUGUAGAAAAAGCACAAAAUAUUAGUGUGGGUUGUAGUGGGUGAUUUUGUAUAGUAUUACAAACAAAACUGUUACUAGAUUGUUUCAGUCAAUAUGUUCACUCAAAAGAAGACUACAUAAGAAGCAUGGAUAUUGGAUAAGUUUAUAUUUGCUGUAGUUUAUUGUACAACACUCCUGAACAUUGCCUUAAGCCACAACUUGUUGAUAAGUAUGUAGAAGCCUUGAUUUACUUUACAUACGCUACAUCAGUCCAUUAGUUCAAUCCUAGCACAACUUGGUGACAGUAGCAUUUACACCAUAGUUGAUUAUAUAACACAUCAAUAAACUACAUAGAUUCAUUCAAUUAACCAAUCCUAGCUUAGUUUGUGUACAAGUACAUAUUGGCUGUAGCUUGCUAUGUACACUAUAAUAAACUACAUAGAUUCAUUCAAUUAGCCAAUCCUAGCUUAGUUUGUGUACAAGUACAUAUUGGCUGUAGCUUGCUAUGUACACUAUAAUAAACUACAUAGAUUCA
rnacentral:lncRNA from 1 species